rnacentral:rRNA from 1 species
AUGAUAAUGUUUAUUGUUCAUGCACCUGAUCAAUGUAUUGUCUGUGAACAUUCAGUUGAAAAGCUCGUGCUCGGUCUAGAGGGAGUAUUUGUUUACAGCCCAUCAUGGUAUUCCCUCGGUAUACAAGAAUUAAGGCGGCUUCAGAACAUAUUAACAAUUUCAGGCAUGUCACAUGUUUACAGCCCAUUCUUGCCUUGUGAACAAUUUCCGGCAUGUCACAUGUUUACAGCCCAUUCUUGCCUUGUGAAUGGGCGGUUACAGAGGGAGUAUUUGUUCAUUAUUCCAGAGGGAGUAUUUGUUAUGGGUACAUGGGCACAUGACUAG